AUACGUAGGGGGCAAGCGUUAUCCGGAAUUACUGGGCGUAAAGAGUGCGUAGGUGGUUUUACAAGCCUUGGGUGAAAGGCUACAGCUCAACUGUAGUAAGCCUUGGGAACUGUAUGACUUGAGUGCAGGAGAGGAGAGCGGAAUUCCUAGUGUAGCGGUGAAAUGCGUAGAUAUUAGGAGGAACACCAGUGGCGAAGGCGGCUCUCUGGACUGUAACUGACGCUGAGGCACGAAAGCGUGGGGAGCGAACAGGAUUAGAUACCCUGGUAGUCCUCGCCGUAAACGAUGAGCACUAGGUGUCGGGGUCGCAAGACUUCGGUGCCGCAGCUAACGCAUUAAGUGCUCCGCCUGGGGAGUACGCACGCAAGUGUGAA
rnacentral:rRNA from 1 species